rnacentral:lncRNA from 1 species
AGUUUGCUACUAUCGUCAGUUUGCUACUAGUUAUUUGUAAGAAAUGCCUCAAGAUUAAUAAAGAAUAUUAUUAUUAUUAUUAUUAUUAUGUCUUGUGUGUCUCUACUUUAUUUUUUGUGCAAGAAAGCAGAAAACACGUAUGGGGGAGAUCCCUCGACAUGCCAAACACACUCCGACUACACCACUCCACGAUUCAGGUACACACUCUGCACACUUUACUUUACACAUACACAUAUCUUGGAUUAUGCAGAAUACUGUUUCCGACAUGACAAAUUAAAAAGAUUAAAAUAUUUCUAAUCAUGAUUAAUCUCACUCUGUUAUAUUUCCUGAAACUUGCAAUUAUUAUAAAAUCAUUUUAAAACCCUGUGUUACUUAAGACAGUGUGAAAUUUGAGAUGGUAGAGUUUCUUAUUCUUGAUAUCAUUGUUGCUUGGAGAAUUUAUUUCAAAAUCUUUAAAAUUCUAGCUACCAUCCUCACUGUUUUAUAUGCCUGAUAAAAACUAAAAAUAUUAAUUAUGAUUAUAAAAGCUAUCUACUCUGUAUUGAGUUUGUUCAAACUGAGUUAGACCCUUGUUGAGAGAUUUAUCGUGCCCCUAAGAUCAAGACAUUUAUUCAGCAAGAUUCACUCUUCCGAAGUAUUAUUGCAUUAGAGGCAUGAGCUAUGCAAAAAUAAAGAUAUUUUCGAGGAAAUAAAAAGGAGCAAGUGCUCGACAACCUCGCAGGAAAAAUGGACAAGUGUCCGGCAGUAGAAUUAGGGAUACCUCGGUAUCCACUUAAAAAAAGAAAGAGAGAGAAAAAAAAUGAUAGCCCAUGGUCCCUCUAAUAAGCAAUUUGCCAGCAAGAGUUGACAAAGAUUUUAAUUUCCAAUGUCUUUGAUCUAAGAGUAUGACAUUCCCCUCCUUGGAUCCCGUUUUGAUCACGCAACAAAUGCAAAGUAAGUAUGCUUAAGAAUUUUUGCAAAUUAAAACAGCCUU